rnacentral:snRNA from 1 species
UGGAGGAGGGAGUUGGAACAGGAGUUUGCUCCGUCCACUCCACACAUCGACAUGGUAUUGCAGUACUUCCAGGAAUGGUGCACC